AGAGUUUGAUCAUGGCUCAGAUUGAACGCUGGCGGCAUGCUUUACACGUGCAAGUCGAACGGCAGCACAGGGAGCUUGCUCCCGGGUGGCGAGUGGCGCACGGGUGAGUAAUAUAUCGGAACGUGUCCUGUUGUGGGGGAUAACUGCUCGAAAGGGUGGCUAAUACCGCAUGAGACCUGAGGGUGAAGGCGGGGAUCGCAAGACCUCGCGCAAUUGGAGCGGCCGAUGCCCGAUUAGCUAGUUGGUGAGGUAAAGGCUCACCAAGGCGACGAUCGGUAGCUGGUCUGAGAGGACGACCAGCCACACUGGGACUGAGACACGGCCCAGACUCCUACGGGAGCA
rnacentral:rRNA from 1 species